CUACGGGCCGCACCAGUGGGGAAUAUUGCACAAUGGGCGCAAGCCUGAUGCAGCAACGCCGCGUGAGGGACGAAGGCCUUCGGGUUGUAAACCUCUUUUAGCAGGGAAGAAGCGAAAGUGACGGUACCUGCAGAAAAAGCACCGGCUAACUACGUGCCAGCAGCCGCGGUAAUACGUAGGGUGCAAGCGUUGUCCGGAAUUAUUGGGCGUAAAGAGCUCGUAGGCGGUUUGUCGCGUCUGCUGUGAAAACUGGAAGCUCAACUGCCAGCCUGCAGUGGGUACGGGCAGACUAGAGUGCGGUAGGGGAGAACGGAAUUCCUGGUGUAGCGGUGGAAUGCGCAGAUAUCAGGAGGAACACCGAUGGCGAAGGCAGUUCUCUGGGCCGUUACUGACGCUGAGGAGCGAAAGCGUGGGGAGCGAACAGGAUUAGAUACCCUUGUAGUC
rnacentral:rRNA from 1 species